rnacentral:rRNA from 1 species
GAAUUCACUAGUGAUUCAGGCCUAACACAUGCAAGUCGAGCGGUAGAGAGAAGCUUGCUUCUCUUGAGAAAAGCGGACGGGUGAGUAAUGCCUAGGAAUCUGCCUGGUAGUGGGGGAUAACGUUCGGAAACGGACGCUAAUACCGCAUACGUCCUACGGGAGAAAGCAGGGGACCUUCGGGCCUUGCGCUAUCAGAUGAGCCUAGGUCGGAUUAGCUAGUUGGUGAGGUAAUGGCUCACCAAGGCUACGAUCCGUAACUGGUCUGAGAGGAUGAUCAGUCACACUGGAACUGAGACACGGUCCAGACUCCUACGGGAGGCAGCAGUGGGGAAUAUUGGACAAUGGGCGAAAGCCUGAU